GCGAGCCACGGGCCUCGCUGCGGGUUCAAGUGCGUCCGGGUUUGGACGUCGCGGCUCCAGGAGUGUGCUCUCUCUCCUGCCCAUCCCCUCCCCGGAGUUCAGCGCAUCCGGGGCCCCGGGGACCCCUCUUCCCGGCCCUCCUGGCCGCGCUGGCCCGCCCGCAUGGGGCCGAGGUUCCUGGCCGACGCGCGAGGGCGCGGGCGGGUACCGGGUUCCCGUUUUUCCCAGGCCCCGAUCCCCGCCCACGCACGAGGCCCCCGGCCCACGCACGAGGCGCCCACGCCCAUCGUGGAGGCUCCGCCUGGAAAAGAAGUCCGACUUCCUCUCCAAGCUGCUCCGAGGGGAAUGGGGAAUCGGCAGGAAAUGACCCGAACUGCCAGCCUGCGCCUUUGCAGCCGGCCCUCGCUUUGCUGAAGACGAGCAGCUCCCACCAAAGUCUUGCCUCCCCUUACCCCGAAAGCCCCGCUCAGUUCAAUAUUUCAAGUGAAAAUCUGCCUGUUCGAAAAGAAAAUAUUCACAAAUGAGCAGUGUAUUAGAAGACAACUGAAUUGCUUCUAAGAAUGGGUCUCACUCUGCCAUCACCCAGGCUGGAGUGUGGUGGCACCAUCAUGGCUCACUGCAGCCUUGAACUCCUGAGCUCAAGUCAUCCUCCCACCUCAGCCUUCCGAGUAGCUGGAACUGCAGGUGUGAGCCACCAUGCCUGGCUGAUUUGUCUUUUUAAAUUUUUUAUAGAGACCGAGUCUCAACUAUAUUGUCCAGGCUGGAAAAGAACUUCUUUCCCUCCAAGUGAUAACCUUUUCCAGACAAGUCAGCUUAAAAACUGACCCAAAGGCCCUGAAGUACACAGUUUUCUUGGAGAAAGAAAAAAAUAAGUGAAAAGGACUUGCUGACUUGCUAAUUCAUUUUGGGGCCUGUGGGUAACAUCAGAAUGGCAAAGCACUUGGGGCUUUUUUCUAAUUUGUAUUUUUUUAAUCUUCUGAGAAAUGACUUUUAUAUGCCAAGAUUCAUUCCAUGAUUAGUUUUUAUGACCAAGUUAUGAACGCUUUUGAAUAUGGGGACCUAGAAUAGAAAUGCUAACCUACCUGCAAGGAGAGCUCUGUGAUUGGCAUCCCCAUCAUGCUGUAACUGACACAAAAUAAACUUAGGGUAAUUGCCG
rnacentral:lncRNA from 1 species